AUCAAAUUCAAUUCAAGAUGAGUAGACUUUAUUAACCAUUGAUAGAGAGCUGUGACUUGCUGAAACACAGUAUGGUUUUAUCGUCGAAGAUGGUCUUAAAGCAAUGAUUGCUGUCGAGCAGAAGUUAGGCAGCAACGGGUACGCCCGUUACAGCGUUAGGGUAUCGAUCAGGUACCCGAAGAGAAGCGGCUUGUGAGAGCCGCUUGAAUUCAGGUGGUAACGCGAAGCAUCUUCGCCCUGACU
rnacentral:ncRNA from 1 species